CCUACGGGCGGCUGCAGUAGGGAAUAUUGGGCAAUGGAGGCAACUCUGACCCAGCCAUGCCGCGUGCAGGAUGACGGCCCUCUGGGUUGUAAACUGCUUUUAUACGGGAAGAAAAAAUACUACGUGUAGUAUACUGACGGUACCGUAAGAAUAAGGAUCGGCUAACUCCGUGCCAGCAGCCGCGGUAAUACGGAGGAUCCCAGCGUUGUCCGGAUUUAUUGGGUUUAAGGGGGAUUUUUAAGUCAGUUUUGAAAGCCUGCAGCUUAACUGUAGAAUUGCCAUUGAAACUGAAAAUCUUGAAUUUGGUUAAAGUAGGCGGAAUGUAUCAUGUAGCGGUGAAAUGCUUAGAUAUGAUACAGAACACCGAUAGCGAAGGCAGCUUGCUGAACCAAUAUUGACGCUGAGGCACGAAAGCGUGGGGAGCGAACAGGAUUAGAUACCCGGGUAGUC
rnacentral:rRNA from 1 species